rnacentral:rRNA from 1 species
AUUGAACGCUGGCGGCAUGCCUUACACAUGCAAGUCGAACGGCAGCACGGGAGCAAUCCUGGUGGCGAGUGGCGGACGGGUGAGUAAAGUAUCGGAACGUGCCCAGUCGUGGGGGAUAACGUAGCGAAAGUUACGCUAAUACCGCAUACGAUCUAUGGAUGAAAGCGGGGGAUCGCAAGACCUCGCGCGAUUGGAGCGGCCGAUAUCAGAUUAGGUAGUUGGUGGGGUAAAGGCUCACCAAGCCGACGAUCUGUAGCUGGUCUGAGAGGACGACCAGGCACACUUGGGUUGAGACACUGCCCAGACUCCUACGGGAGGCAGCAGUGGGGAAUUUUGGACAAUGGGCGAAAGCCUGAUCCAGCCAUGCCGCGUGCAGGAUGAAGGCCUUCGGGUUGUAAACUGCUUUUGUACGGAACUAAAUGGUUUGGGCUAAUAAGCUGAGCUCAUGACGGUACCGUAAGAAUAAGCACCGGCUAACUACGUGCCAGCCGCCGCAGUAA